CACGUAGGGGACGAGCGUUGUCCGGAUUCAUUGGGCGUAAAGCGCGCGUAGGCGGCUCGGAAAGUCGGUCGUGAAAUGCCGGGGCUCAACCCCGGGACUGCGUCCGAUACUCCCGAGCUGGAGGCAGGUAGGGGAGAUCGGAAUUCCUGGUGUAGCGGUGAAAUGCGCAGAUAUCAGGAGGAAUACCGGUGGCGAAGGCGGCAUCCUGGACCGGCAUUGACGCUGAGGAGCGAAAGCCAGGGGAGCAAACGGG
rnacentral:rRNA from 1 species